ACUGAUGAUGAUUUAUCAUUUUGGAAUCUCGUUCGUCUGAAAUCCUGUUGAUAAAUCUUUAUUACUGAAGUUA